rnacentral:lncRNA from 1 species
GAGGUUAUUUAUACCCAUCCACUUUUGAUCUGGGCCAUCCAUCGCUUUUAAUCUGGACCGUCCGAUUGCGAUUAAAUGGAGAGUGAAUCUGAGCCGUUCAUUAUGAUUUAAUCUGGGCCAUCCGUUUGCGAUUCAAUCUGCGCCGUCCGUGCGCGAUGCAAUUUGGGCCGUCCGUGCACAUUUUUGAUCUGGGCUGUCCGUGCAUGCGGAAACAGAUCUCAGCUGUUCGAUCGCAUGCAUGCAGAUCACCCAAGUGGCUCCCCUCGUGUGGCCUCCCGCGUCAGCGCCUCUGCCACCUGGCGCGUUCUGGUUGGUCGAGACUGCUGACCAGACAGCUGACGUGGCGUAAUUUUUUUAAAUUACGUUUUGACCCCUGAUUUUUAAUUUUUCUUUC